rnacentral:rRNA from 1 species
UACGUAGGCAGCAAACGUUGUUCGGAAUUACUGGGCGUAAAGAGUGUGUAGGCGGUCUUGUAAGUCAGAUGUGAAAGCCCCGGGCUCAACCUGGGAAUUGCAUUUGAGACUGUGUAGCUAGGGUGCGGAAGAGGGAAGCGGAAUUUCCGGUGUAGCGGUGAAAUGCGUAGAUAUCGGAAGGAACACCAGUGGCGAAAGCGGCUUCCUGGUCCAGCACCGACGUUCAGGCACGAAAGCGUGGGGAGCAAACAGG